CCUACGGGGGGCUGCAGUGGGGAAUAUUGGGCAAUGGAGGCAACUCUGACCCAGCAACGCCGCGUGAAUGAUGAAGGUCUUCGGAUUGUAAAGUUCUGUGAUGGGGGAUGAACACAAUGACGGUACCCCAAUAGCAAGCCACGGCUAACUACGUGCCAGCAGCCGCGGUAAUACGUAGGUGGCAAGCGUUAUCCGGAAUGACUGGGCGUAAAGGGUGCGUAGGCGGGCUUUUAAGUCAGCGGUAAAAAUUCGGGGCUCAACCCCGUCCGGCCGUUGAAACUGGGGGCCUUGAGUGGGCGAGAAGAAGGCGGAAUGCGUGGUGUAGCGGUGAAAUGCAUAGAUAUCACGCAGAACCCCGAUUGCGAAGGCAGCCUUCCGGCGCCCUACUGACGCUGAGGCACGAAAGUGCGGGGAUCGAACAGGAUUAGAUACCCGGGUAGUC
rnacentral:rRNA from 1 species